GAAAGUGUAUAUAGAUGGAGGAAUAAAUUAUGAUGUGGAAAACAAGGCAGGGGUUCAAAUCCUGUCAUCCCUA
rnacentral:tRNA from 1 species